AGUGGCGCACGGGUGCGUAACGCGUAUACAAUCUACUUUUACAGGGGGAUAGCCCAGAGAAAUUUGGAUUAAUACCCCAUGGCAUAUAUUUAUGGCAUCAUAUAUAUAUUAAAGAUUCAUCGGUAAGAGAUGAGUAUGCGUUCUAUUAGCUAGUAGGUGCGGUAACGGCGCACCUAGGCUACGAUAGAUAGGGGCCCUGAGAGGGGGAUCCCCCACACUGGUACUGAGACACGGACCAGACUCCUACGGGAGGCAGCAGUGAGGAAUAUUGGACAAUGGGCGAGAGCCUGAUCCAGCCAUGCCGCGUGCAGGAAGACGGCCCUAUGGGUUGUAAACUGCUUUUAUACGGGAAGAAACACCCCCUCGUGAGGGGGCUUGACGGUACCGUAAGAAUAAGGAUCGGCUAACUCCGUGCCAGCAGCCGCGGUAAUACGGAGGAUCCAAGCGUUAUCCGGAAUCAUUGGGUUUAAAGGGUCCGUAGGUGGACGGUUAAGUCAGAGGUGAAAUCCUGCAGCUCAACUGUAGAAUUGCCUUUGAUACUGGUCGUCUUGAGUCGUUGUGAAGUGGUUAGAAUAUGUAGUGUAGCGGUGAAAUGCAUAGAUAUUACAUAGAAUACCGAUUGCGAAGGCAGAUCACUAACAACGUACUGACACUGAUGGACGAAAGCGUGGGGAGCGAACAGGAUUAGAUACCCUGGUAGUCCACGCCGUAAACGAUGGUCACUAGCUGUCCGGACUUCGGUCUGGGUGGCUAAGCGAAAGUGAUAA
rnacentral:rRNA from 1 species